rnacentral:tRNA from 1 species
GAGGGUGUAGCUCAGUGGUAGAGCGCAUGCUUAGAACGUACAAGGUCCUGGGUUCAAUCCUCAGCACCUCCA